rnacentral:snoRNA from 10 species
UAGCAUUUGAUACUAGCCAAGCGAUCUGUGUCCUAGCUUUGAUGAAAGACUUGUGAUAUGAUGUGAUAGCUGGGUUUAAGAAGUGCAAUAUUAAAACAAAAGCCAUGAUUCUCUUAAGCCCAGCAUGUAAAGACACACUCUGAGUUACAGCACACAGGCAAAACU